rnacentral:misc_RNA from 1 species
UGCUGGAAACAAGGUAUUAACGACCCUGAGAGAGAUGAGACCUCUUUGGAAGUUCCACUCCUCGGGGAUCUCUCAACCCUGCGGCGAUGUCUGCGGCGAGAUUUCAGUGUCGCCGUCGCCCGAGCCCGGUUCGCCCUUCGUCUUGUUCUCCUUCUUCCAUUUCAUCCGUCUGUUUUGGAACCAGAUUUUGAUUUGCCGUUCCGUCAGGCAGAGUGCGUGCGCGAUCUCGAUGCGCCGCCGCCUGGUCAGGUAUCGGUUGAAGUGGAACUCCUUCUCCAGCUCGAGGGUUUGGUAUCGGGUACACUGCGCGGACGCAUGUGCACGCGAAUUACCCUUGAAACGUACUGUGGUUUCAAAACUGCUCGCAUAAUACUCGAACAUUAUGCGCGCUCUAAUUUCGACGUCGUUCCAAGAAACUUGGUUUCUCGCUAAAAC